rnacentral:rRNA from 1 species
AGAGUUUGAUCAUGGCUCAGGAUGAUCGCUGGCGGCGUGCCUAAUACAUGCAAGUCGAACGAGGUGCUUUUGUAGCAAUACGAGAGUAUCCUAGUGGCGAACGGGUGAGUAACGCGUUGGUGACCUACCCCAAAGUGUGGGAUAACAGUCCGAAAGGAUUGCUAAUACCGCAUGUGGUCUUCGGAUUUAGAGACUGAUGACUAAAGGAGCAAUUCGCUUUGGGAGGGACCUGCGUCCCAUCAGCUGGUUGGUGAGGUAAUGGCUCACCAAGGCUACGACGGGUAGGGGACCUGAGAGGGUGACCCCCCACAAUGGAACUGAAACACGGUCCAUACACCUACGGGUGGCAGCAGUAGGGAAUAUUGCACAAUGGGCGAAAGCCUGAUGCAGCAACGCCGCGUGUGCGAUGAAGGCCUUCGGGUCGUAAAGCACUUUUCUGGGAGAUGAGCAAGGACAGUAUCUCAGGAAUAAGUCUCGGCUAACUACGUG